CACGGAGUUAGCCGGUGCUUAUUCAAAUGGUACCGUCAGACGACUUAGAAAAGCCUUUUUUCGUCCCAUAUAAAAGAAGUUUACAACCCAGAGGGCCUUCAUCCUCCACGCGGCAUGGCUGGUUCAGACUUUCGUCCAUUGACCAAUAUUCCUUACUGCUGCCUCCCGUAGGAGUCGGGCCCGUGUCUCAGUGCCCGUGUGACUGGUCGUGCUCUCACACCAGUUACUGAUCGUUGCCUUGGUGGGCCGUUACCCCGCCAACUAGCUAAUCAGCCGCACACCCAUCUUCAAGUAAUAAAUCUUUAAUAUUAAUAAGAUGCCUCAUCAAUAUACUAUGGGGUAUUAAUCCGGGUUUCCCCGGGCUAUUCCCCGCUUAAAGGAAGGUUGUGUACGUGUUCCGCACCCGUUUGCCGGUCGCCAUCAACUGUAUUGCUACAGUCAUGCUGCCCCUCGACUUGCAUGUAUUAAGCCUGCCGCUAGCGUUCAUCCUGAGCCAGGAUCAAACUCU
rnacentral:rRNA from 1 species